UACGUAGGUGGCAAGCGUUGUCCGGAUUUACUGGGCGUAAAGCGCACGUAGGCGGCUUUGUAAGUUAGAGGUGAAAGCCCGGGGCUCAACUCCGGAACUGCCUUUAAGACUGCAUCGCUUGAAUCCAGGAGAGGUGAGUGGAAUUCCGAGUGUAGAGGUGAAAUUCGUAGAUAUUCGGAAGAACACCAGUGGCGAAGGCGGCUCACUGGACUGGUAUUGACGCUGAGGUGCGAAAGCGUGGGGAGCAAACAGG
rnacentral:rRNA from 1 species